CGUGGUUCCGCGUGAAAAUGCCUGGCCUGUGAAGCUCCAGGCUCCUGGCGUCUGCCACGUUUCAGCCUGCACCCCCCCCCAGACCAGUCCAGGGCACCAGGACGGGAGAAGAGCCCGUGGAGGCUGGACGCGUCCUGUGGGCGGCCGAACACCAGAGCCUACAAGCUCCACCCCAGAGGAAAAAGAAGUGCUGUUGCUUAGUCACUUUAGUGAGGACCGUCUGCUUUGUAAGGUCACAGUGAGUGAAUGGUCUGAGAAAUGUGCACAGGCACGUGGGCACCGCCGGCCAGGCAGAUGGUAGUUCCCACGGGCUGUGACUUUGAGAGGACCGCUGUGAGUAGAUGCCCUGCCCAAGUGUCCGGCCAGUAAGUAAGGGUAGCUGCAUGAAUCUGAUCUCUGGGCGCGGGGACUUGACCCUCCCGGUGAGACGCAGCACAGUGGACAGGCGUCCGCGGACUGCAGGGCAGAAGAGGUCUUACAGCAUGGGGACACCAGAGCCCUCCAAUUCUGCUGGGAGCCAGAAUCCCAAGAAGAGGUGGGCUUUGCACAGAGCGUCGCUGAUGUCACCCGAGCAGAACACUUCGGCCAGGACAGCGGGCAGAAACGUGGAUUGUCCCUAGGAAGACAGCCGAUGAGGUCACCCCCUCCCAGAGCCACACAGGGGCGCAUUCAGGCCUGUCUCAGUGCUUUCUCGGACUUGGCUUCAUUUAAUCCUGACAAUGAUGCUGUGAUGCGAUCCUCGCUGGCCGCCGUGAGCCGCCAGGGUUAGCGAGGCAGCAGGCGGGCCCAGCUGUGCGCUGACUCCGGCUGGAGCGUAGCUGUCCGCACCCCUCCCUCGGAGGGCUUCGGCCCUCUCUGAGGUUCCAUCAGGUGUUUCAGAGAAGCGUCCUCCAGGGUGGACCCAGGCUGCGGGGGCAGCGCCGAGCCCUGGCCACUGGACCACCAUGGUUGGUGUCUCCGGACAUCGACACCGCAGCAGGAACUUCGCAGACGCUCAGGCAGGCAGGCGAGAAGAGGCAGGUUUGUUUAGAGAAAGGAAAGUUGAUGGACGAGACAGGGAACAGAAAGCGGGACUCGGCCGGACUGUGAGACCAGGCGGCACAGGCUGAGGAGGCCAGGCGAGGCGUGCAGGGAGUGGGGCCCUUCUUGCCCCGACUGUCAACUGUCCUAAAGCCCCCCCCCCCGUGGGGGCCUUGCCCUUGUCUCAUGCGCCAUCUUGGUGUCCCCCUGUGCCCAGCGGUAAGUCUCUGUGUCCGGCCUUUAUCCUGGAAUCCUUUUUCUCUAUAACCCGUAUUCCAGAAGGUCCUGCUGCCCCCAGUCCUGGGGUGUUUGUCCCCCUUGGAACUUGUCGCCCUUCCCUCUGGGGCCCUCUUCAUGCUUCUGAGGCUCCUGCACAGCCUCGGAGCUGCCUCAUCAUCCCCAACUUGUCUUGGGGCUCACGGGGGCCUGAGGUUAGUGUGCGGUUGGGCCUCGUGGUUUUGGUGGUUCCUUCCAGCCCAACUGUACCUGCAGACUCUGAGACAGGCUUUGGUAUAUUUUGAAUUCCUGAUGGGGGUUGGGGGGCUCGGGGGUACUUGCAAGAUGUUAAUGCUCUCAAAGGAGGCACUGGUCAGGGCAUCCCACUUGAUGGCUGCGGGACUUCAAGUCUGACACUCUCAGAGACUCAGCGUUUCUAAAAAUGUGGAAUAGCUUCCUCUCCCUGUCCCUUCACACUCAGCUUUUCUGGGACAACAAAAUACAUUACUACAAGCAGGCACAUUGCAAACAGAGAAACAUCGCACAAAAAUAGCAACUUCCCUUUUGCCAGCAUUCAGUCUUACUUUCCAAAGUCCAUUUAUGGAGGCGAUAAGGCAGAGAAGGACCAUGGAAAGAGCCAGGUCAUGCAGCCGGACAGGUGCAUUUGAAUCCCUGAAUAGCACUGGGCCCCCCGGGGGCCCCAGCCAAGUGGUGUGUCUUGUCUGGACCUCAGCUCUAAGAAUAGUCACCUUCUGUGGGCCUUAAGAAGACACGUGAGCUAAAGUGGAGCUCUCUUUCUGGCACACAGAUCUCCAAAGAAACAUUUGUUUAACAUUUGUUUUCUGCAUUGUAGAGCCUUCAACCUGCACCCCGAAGUCCUGGAGCAACACCCUGGUGGCCAUUGUGGGGUGACCUGAGGUUUUGCCCCACAGCAUCUCCAUUGAAAACCUUUCCUGCCUGCGGCCACAAACCGGCUCUGCCUGUUAGGGCCUAGAACCGCGUUCACUUUUUGACUCAUCUCUACUCCUUGGAAAGGGAGUCAACAAAAGCUUGAUUGGUUUUCCACUGCUCCUAGGCAGGAGAAGGGUUAGCAUAUUAUUAUUUUAUAAAAACAUGAAUAAUAAAAUAUGCCAUAAA